GAGGUGGGAUCCCGGCCCCGCGGGGCUCCGGGCGCACCACCGGCUCGUCUCGCACCGCACUGCCGGCGAGGUGACGCAUUAGCGCGCGCGAUAGGACCCGAAAGAUGGUGAACUAUGCCUGGGCAGGGC
rnacentral:rRNA from 1 species